rnacentral:rRNA from 1 species
GACGAACGCUGGCGGCGUGCUUAACACAUGCAAGUCGAACGGAAAGGCCCUGCUUGCAGGGUCCUCGAGUGGCGAACGGGUGAGUAACACGUGGGUGAUCUGCCCUGCACUUCGGGAUAAGCCUGGGAAACUGGGUCUAAUACCGGAUAGGAGCCAUUUUAGUGUGAUGGUUGGAAAGUUUUUUGGUGUGGGUUGGGCUUGCGGCCCUAUAGCUUGGUGGGGGGGUAAUGGCCUUCCAAGGCGGCGACGGGUACCCGGCGUGAGAGGGUGGACGGCCACAUUGGGACUGAGAUACGGCCCAGACUCCUACGGGAGGCAGCAGUGGGGAAUAUUGCACAUUGGGCGCAAGCCUGAUGCAGCGCCGCCGCGUGGGGGAUGACGGCCUUCGGGUUGUAAACUCCUUUCGCUAGGGACGAAGCUUUUUGUGACGGUACCUAGAUAAGAAGCACCGGCUAACUACGUG